AUUGAACGCUGGCGGCAGGCCUAACACAUGCAAGUCGAACGAGUGGCGGACGGGUGAGUAAUGUCUGGGAAACUGCCUGCUGGAGGGGGAUAACUACUGUAAACGGUAGCUAAUACCGCAUACCAUCAGAUGUGCCCAGAUGGGAUUAGCUUGUUGGUGGGGUAAAGGAUAACAAAGGCGACGAUCCCUAGCUGGUCUGAGAGGAUGAACAGCAACACUGGAACGGAGACACGGUCCAUACGCCUACGGGAGGCAGCAGUGGGGAAUAUUGCACAAUGGGCGCAAGCCUGAUGCAGCCAUGCCGCGUGUAUGAAGAAGGCCUUAGGGUUGUAAAGUACUGUCAGCGGGGAGGCGUUACCCGCAGAAGAAGCACCUGCUAACUCCGUGCCAGCAGCCGCGGUAAUAC
rnacentral:rRNA from 1 species